rnacentral:rRNA from 1 species
GGACGGGUGAGUAACGCGUGGGCAACCUGCCUUAUACAGGGGGAUAACACCGGGAAACCGAUGCUAAUACCGCAUAACACAUAGAUAUCGCAUGGUAUUUAUGUCAAAGGAGAAAUCCGGUAUAAGAUGGGCCCGCGUCCAAUUAGCUAGUUGGUGGGGUAGAGGCCUACCAAGGCGACGAUUGGUAGCCGAACUGAGAGGUUGAUCGGCCACAUUGGGACUGAGACACGGCCCAGACUCCUACGGGAGGCAGCAGUGGGGAAUAUUGCGCAAUGGGGGGAACCCUGACGCAGCAACGCCGCGUGAAGGAUGAAGGUCUUCGGAUCGUAAACUUCUUUGAUUGGGGAAGAAGCAGUGACGGUACCCAAAGAACAAGCCACGGCUAACUACGUGCCAGCAGCCGCGGUAAUACGUAGGUGGCAAGCGUUGUCCGGAAUUACUGGGUGUAAAGGGCGUGUAGGCGGGGAUGCAAGUCAGAUGUGAAAAUCCGUGGCUCAACUGCGGAACUGCAUCUGAAACUGUAUCUCUUGAGUGCUGGAGAGGGAAGUGGAAUUCCUAGUGUAGCGGUGAAAUGCGUAGAGAUUAGGAAGAACACCAGUGGCGAAGGCGGCUUCCUGGACAGUAACUGACGCUGAGGCGCGAAAGCGUGGGGAGCGAACAGGAUUAGAUACCCUGGUAGUCCACGCCGUAAACGAUGGAUACUAGGUGUAGGAGGUAUCGACCCCUUCUGUGCCGGAGUUAACACAAUAAGUAUCCCACCUGGGGAGUACGGCCGCAAGGUUGAAACUCAAAGGAAUUGACGGGGGCCCGCACAAGCAGUGGAGUAUGUGGUUUAAUUCGAAGCAACGCGAAGAACCUUACCAGGGCUUGACAUCCUCUGACCGCUCUAGAGAUAGAGCUUUCCUUCGGGACAGAGAGACAGGUGGUGCAUGGUUGUCGUCAGCUCGUGUCGUGAGAUGUUGGGUUAAGUCCCGCCACGAGCGCAACCCCUGUUGUUAGUAGCCAUCAAGUAAAGUUGGGCACUCUAACGAGACUGCCGGUGAUAAAUCGGAGGAAGGUGGGGAGGACGUCAAAUCAUCAU